AUACGGAGGGUGCAAGCGUUGUUCGGAAUCACUGGGCGUAAAGGGCGCGCAGGCGGUUUGGUAAGUCAGAUGUGAAAGCCCACGGCUCAACCGUGGAAGUGCAUUUGAAACUGCCAGACUUGAGUACCAGAGGGGAAAGUGGAAUUCCCGGUGUAGAGGUGAAAUUCGUAGAUAUCGGGAGGAAUACCGGUGGCGAAGGCGACUUUCUGGCUGGAUACUGACGCUGAGGCGCGAAAGCGUGGGGAGCAAACCGGAUUAGAAACCCCAGUAGUCC
rnacentral:rRNA from 1 species